AGCGAACGCUGGCGGCAGGCCUAACACAUGCCAGUCGAACGAACCUUUCGGGGUUAGUGGCGGACGGGUGAGUAACACGUGGGAACGUGCCUUUAGGUUCGGAAUAACUCAGGGAAACUUGUACUAAUACCGAAUGUGCCCUUCGGGGGAAAGAUUAAUCGCCUUUAGAGCGGCCCGCGUCUGAUUAGCUAGUUGGUUGAGGUAAUGGCUCACCAAGGCGACGAUCAGUAGCUGGUCUGAGAGGAUGAUCAGCCACAUUGGGACUGAGACACGGCCCAAACUCCUACGGGAGGCAGCAGUGGGGAAUCUUGCGCAAUGGGCGAAAGCCUGACGCAGCCAUGCCGCGUGAAUGAUGAAGGUCUUAGGAUUGUAAAAUUCUUUCACCGGGGACGAUAAUGACGGUACCCGGAGAAGAAGCCCCGGCUAACUUCGUG
rnacentral:rRNA from 1 species